UGAUCCUUGUUGGAAGACGGUUCUAUUGAUUAUAAGUUUGUUGAAUUUUGUGAGAAUUUGAUGUUCUUCAUUUUUCUGGAAAUCUGAGUUUGUUCAUAGUGAAGAACACGUUCGAAUGUGUGUUUGAUCCAAAUUUUCCAUGGCCUGUUUCAAAUUCAUGUUACCCGCGCCUUAGAACCAAUCAGAGCGUUCCACUGCAUCUAACUGGAACGACGCCGUUUUGCUCUGGCGUUUAAAAAUUACGAACGUGCCAUUGUGACAUAAUUAUUUGAUUAUUUC
rnacentral:lncRNA from 1 species